CCUUUAGAGUAGGUAUGUCCCAGGCAAUAUUUGGGAUAUACUUAUACUAAAA
rfam:Myotis lucifugus cont2.30736, whole genome shotgun sequence.